GAGAGGAAAGGGAAGGGAAUGAAUAAAAAAUGUAAAGUAUACUAGAUCAAUUUUAUAAAGGUUUUUUUGUCGUUGUUAAAAAAUUGAAGCAAAUAUUAUAUUUAUAACUAUUUUUAGAAAAUUUCUAAUGUGUACACAGUAUAUAAAAUGAGACAGCAUGCCUUUAUUGUAUAAAGUCAUUUAUGUGUUCCAAAAGAAGGGAAAAAUAUCAUUAAAUGGUCUUUAGCAGCAUCUAAAGGAUGUAGGAUGUGGUGAGUCACUGAGAAGGGAUAUUGUGUGCAAAGAGCAGAGAGUGUUUAAACGUUAAUGAAAAAGUAGGAAACAUUCCUUCUAACAAAAGAUGGGCUGAGUGAGCUUAAGUAGACUAGAUACACAAUUCACUAAUUAUGACUGUAUUUUCUUAUUGAAGGGAAAAAGUAAAAAUAAAUACAAGCAUACGGGGAAAUAUGGUUAAAUCUUUGUAUAAUCACAACCCUGGCCCCCUGAUUUACAUCCAGUACAGACAGAUGUCAGUGAUAAACAGGAAGUAGCAAAAUAGUACACAGAAAAAAAAAUAGAAACUGAAACUUUUUCUUUCCUACAUUUCUCUUCUGAGGACGGGGAGCAGACCUGUCCAGAAAGAAACUAGGAAUUCUCUAUGCUUUGCAGGGACAUCAGUCAGGUGACUUAGCUUAUUAUUCCACCAAUUAGAGGGAGGUGGGCACAAGGAAAUUACAGCAAACCCACAUGUCAACUCUUCCCUUCUCUUGUUAAUGAAUUUGUCAACAAGAGUUGCUUUAGCAUAUACUCUCCCAACGUGUUAGUUACCUCUGAAUUUCAUACAUGGCUUAAUUCAAACAGGACUUUUUCUUUACUUAAUUUCAGCCAUGGCUCCUUUAUCAGUGAUGUUAUUUCUCAUAACUCUGCUGUUCCCAUUGAUGAGCACUGAAGGAAGGAAAAUCAUAUUUGAUGAAGCAAAGAAGUGCAGACUGAGAGGAGCCGGAUGUAGAUCGCUCCUGAGAGACACAGCCAGAAUACAGCAAAUACAGAGGCGAAUGCCAGCAGCAAACCACUGAACUGAGAAUAGGACCCCCGUUGAAGGAAUCAGAGAAAGAACUGGAAGAGCUUGAAGGGGCUCGAGACCCCAUAUGUACAACAAUGCCAAGCAACCAGAGCUUCCAGGGACUAAGCCACUACCUAAAGACUAUACAUGGACUGAUCCUGGACUCUGACCUCAUAGGUAGCAAUGAAUAUCCUAGUAAGAGCACCAGUGGAAGGGGAAGCCCUGGGUCCUGCUAAGACUGAACCCCCAGUGAACUAGACUGUGGGGGGGAGGGCGGCA